UCCCUGGUGGCUCAGACAGUAAAAGAAUCUGCCUGCAAUGCAGGAGACCCAGGUUCCAUCCCUGGGUUGGGAA
rfam:Ovis aries breed Texel chromosome 1, whole genome shotgun sequence.